rnacentral:rRNA from 1 species
UGAGGAACAUGUCCUCGGCGGGGAAGUAGCCGGCCUAACGGCCGGGUAAUUCCGCGUACGACGGUUGGGGCGCAUGCCUCGGCCGUGUAAGCAGCAAUGCGCCGAUGGAGUGCCUCGCGGCCUAUCAGCUAGUUGGUGAGGUAAUGGCUCACCAAGGCGACGACGGGUAGCUGGUCUGAGAGGAUGAUCAGCCACAUUGGGACUGAGACACGGCCCAGAUCCCGUACGGGG